CCCCCCCCCCCCCCCCCCCCCCCCCCCCCCCCCCCCCCCCCCCCCCCCCCCCCCCCCCCCCCCCCCCCCCCCCCCCCCCCCCCCCCCCGGCCCCAGCCCGCAGCAGCUCCGCUGGCUCCCCGGCGCUCCGGACGCAGGCAGCCUGGCUGUACUUUGUGAUCCCAGCGGAGAAACAACACACCCGAGACCUUCCUCACCACCACACUGCCUCCAGCCACCGGGCAGGGACUGCACAGGGCUGAGGGGAAGCUGAGAUGCUUCCCUCAGGUGUGACCAAGCUUGACUUUGCAGCAAUUCCUGAGUGUACCUUUCUUUUCCAUGGAUUGCUGUCCACGAUAGAGAUUUGUUGUUGGAAUGUUCCCAGCUCUGACCUUGAAUACACUGUGGCUCUAACACUGCUGAAAACAUCAGUUUUCUACUGCCAAAUGGAAAUCACUGUCCACUGUCAGUUCUCGACAGGGCUCUGUAUAUUGAAAAGCUGUGGUACAGAAGGUGCUGUCCAAAUCCAGUGCUUCUACUAAAAACCAAACCAAACAAAAACGCAUCUUUGUGGCAGAGAGCCACACUGAAGGAACAGCAUUAUGUUCUGUAAAGUUUCAAGUAGGAGACUCAGAAGUUCGCAUUUCC
rnacentral:lncRNA from 12 species